rnacentral:tRNA from 1 species
GUGGUUGGAGUCUGCCGGUACGAUGUCUCCUUGCCAAGGAGAAGACAGUGGGUUCGAUUCCCACCAGCCACA